rnacentral:rRNA from 1 species
UGUGUCUCCUUUGUCAUUUCGCACCCAAUCUCAUCUGAUCUCGGAAGCUAAGCAGGGUCGCGCCUGGUUAGUACUUGGAUGGGAGUCAUAC